UACGGGGGGGGCAAGCGUUGUUCGGAAUUACUGGGCGUAAAGGGCGCGUAGGCGGCCAUCUAAGUCAGACGUGAAAUCCCUCGGCUCAACCGAGGAACUGCGUCUGAUACUGGAAGGCUUGAAUCCGGGAGAGGGAUGUGGAAUUCCAGGUGUAGCGGUGAAAUGCGUAGAUAUCUGGAGGAACACCGGUGGCGAAGGCGGCAUCCUGGACCGGUAUUGACGCUGAGGCGGCGAAAAGCUAGGGGAGCAAACGGG
rnacentral:rRNA from 1 species